CAAUAUCGUAUAUUAAAGUUGUUGCAGUUAAAAAGCUCGUAGUUGAACCUUGGGUCUGGCUGACCGGUCCGCCUCACCGCGAGUACUGGUUCGGCUGGACCUUUCCUUCUGGGGAACCUCAUGGCCUUCACUGGCUGUGGGGGGAACCAGGACUUUUACUGUGAAAAAAUUAGAGUGUUCAAAGCAGGCCUUUGCUCGAAUACAUUAGCAUGGAAUAAUAGAAUAGGACGUGCGGUUCUAUUUUGUUGGUUUCUAGGACCGCCGUAAUGAUUAAUAGGGAUAGUCGGGGGCGUCAGUAUUCAGCUGUCAGAGGUGAAAUUCUUGGAUUUGCUGAAGACUAACUACUGCGAAAGCAUUCGCCAAGGAUGUUUUCAUUAAUCAGGGAACGAAAGUUAGGGGAUCGAAGACGAUCAGAUACCGUCGUAGUCUUAACCAUAAACUAUGCCGACUAGGGAUCGGGCGGUGUUUCUAUAAUGACCCGCUCGGCACCUUACGAGAAAUCAAAGUUUACGGGUUCUGGGGGGA
rnacentral:rRNA from 1 species